UGGCUCAGAACGACGCUGGCGGCGCGUUUUAAGCAUGCAAGUCGAGCGGCAAGGGCCUUCGGGCCCCUAGAGCGGCGGACGGGUGAGUAACACGUGGACAAUCUGCCCCCCGGCCCGGGAUAGCCCAGGGAAACCUGGAUUAAUACCGGAUGAGACGGGACCCGCGAUGGCGGGACCCGGGAAAGGCGCUGCGGCGCCGCCGGGGGAUGAGUCUGCGUCCCAUUAGCUAGACGGCGGGGUAACGGCCCACCGUGGCGACGAUGGGUAGCCGGCCUGAGAGGGUGGACGGCCACAUUGGAACUGAGACACGGUCCAGACUCCUACGGGAGGCAGCAGCUAAGAAUCUUCCGCAAUGGGCGAAAGCCUGACGGAAGCGACGCCGCGUGAACGAAGAAGGCCGUGAGGUUGUAAAGUUCUUUUCGGGAGGGGGAACAACCGUGGCAGGGAAUGGCCGCGGGAUGACGUGAAUCCCGGAAUAAGCCCCGGCUAACUACGUGCCAGCCGCCGC
rnacentral:rRNA from 1 species